rnacentral:rRNA from 1 species
UGGGCGUAAAGAGCUCGUAGGCGGUCUGUCGCGUCUGCUGUGAAAACCCGAGGCUCAACCUCGGGCCUGCAGUGGGUACGGGCAGACUAGAGUGCGGUAGGGGAGAUUGGAAUUCCUGGUGUAGCGGUGGAAUGCGCAGAUAUCAGGAGGAACACCGAUGGCGAAGGCAGAUCUCUGGGCCGUAACUGACGCUGAGGAGCGAAAGGGUGGGGAGCAAACAGGCUUAGAUACCCUGGUAGUCCACCCCGUAAACGUUGGGAACUAGUUGUGGGGACCAUUCCACGGUUUCCGUGACGCAGCUAACGCAUUAAGUUCCCCGCCUGGGGAGUACGGCCGCAAGGCUAAAACUCAAA